GAUGAACGCUGGCGGCGUGCCUAAUACAUGCAAGUCGAGCGAACAGACGAGGAGCUUGCUCCUCUGACGUUAGCGGCGGACGGGUGUGUAACACGUGGAUAACCUACCUAUAAGACUGGGAUAAUUUCGGGAAACCGGCGCUAAUACCGGAUAAUCUAUUGAACCGUAGGGUUCAAUAGUGAAAGACGGCUUUGCUGUCACUUCUAGAUGGAUCCGCGCUGCAUUAGCUAGUUGGUAGGGUAACGGCUUACCAAGGCAACGAUGCGUAACCGACCGGAGAGGGUGGUCGGCGGCCCGGGAGGUGAGACACGGUCCAGACUCCUACGGGAGGCAGCAGUAGGGAAUCUUCCGCAGUGGGCGAAAGCCUGACAGAGCAACGCCGCGUGAGUGAUGAAGGUCUUCGGAUCGUAAUGCUCUGUUAUUAGGGGAGAACAAAUGUGUACGUAGCUAUGCACGUCUUGACGGUACCUGAUCAGGAAGCCACGGCUAACUACGUG
rnacentral:rRNA from 1 species